GACGAACGCUGGCGGCGUGCUUAACACAUGCAAGUCGAACGGAAAGACCCUGCUUUUGUGGGUUGCUCGAGUGGCGAACGGGUGAGUAACACGUGAGUAACCUGCCCUUGACUUUCGGAUAACUUCAGGAAACUGGGGCUAAUACCGGAUAGGAGCUCCUGCUGCAUGGUGGGGGUUGGAGAGAUUCGGCGGUUGGGGAUGGACUCGCGGGUUCUCAGCUUGUUGGUGGGGUAGUGGCUUACCAAGGCUUUGACGGGUAGCCGGCCUGAGAGGGGGAACGGCGACAAUGGGACUGAGAGACGGCGCAGUAGGGUAUGGGAGGCAACAGGGGGGAGUAUGGCACAACGGGCGGGAGUCAGAGGCAGCAACGCUGGGAGCGGGAUGCUGGGUUUCGGGUGGUAAACAGAUGUGGCAUUAGAUGAAGCCUGAGUGACGGUAAUGGAUAAAGAAGCACCGGCUAACUACGUG
rnacentral:rRNA from 1 species